GGCAGACUCCAAGUUGCCCGAUAUCCAGUCUGGUUACGAGAAAUCGUAUACCAAUACCUUGGCCGCACACAGUGGCGCGAACUUGGUUUACGAAUCU
rnacentral:ncRNA from 1 species